rnacentral:rRNA from 1 species
UACGGGUGAUGCAAGCGUUAUUCGGCGUGAUUGGGUCUAAAGGGUACGUAGGCGGUGAAGUAAAUCUUUCUAAUUAUACUUUAGAAUAAGGAAGGUAUUACUAAACUAGAGUAAAUAAGAAGUAACAAACUCUCAUAGUACUGGGUUAAAAUAUUACACUUUGUGGGUUGCGAAGAGGCGAAGGCAUGUUACUAUGGAAAACUGACGCUGAGGUACGAAGGCUUGGGUAUCGAUCGGG